rnacentral:misc_RNA from 1 species
UUGUUAUUUAUGUUCUAAUUAUCCAAUUGUAAAAUAAUAAAUGCCAAACAAAUUAAACCUUUACAACCCCCUCCCCACACCUGGUUUCACCGGUAGAGAACUAGAUAAAACCAUUUUUAACAAGGUCUUGGACUUUCAGUAGGAUGUCAUAUCUAUUUCUUGAGUCAAAACAAGUUAAAAUGACGAUGGUUUCGAGCGAAAUAUGUAUACACCGACUGCGUAGUUUUCACUCAUAAGCCAGACAAAUCUUGUUGAUUUCAAAGAGCCAUGGCUGAAUGGCCAGCAAUUUGACACUACUACCCAAAACCAAAGCUCUUGUUAAGAUGGUUCUAUUUCGAAUUUCAUUAAGAAAAUUUACGAUUUCAAUUUUAUAAAUUCGGGUAUUUUGAUUUUUUAAGGAUUAAGAAUCUUGUGCGAAAAUAAAAACUAUCAAUGUUUACGGGUAGAUUGUAAGUUAAAUCUCAGAGUUUUUUUUAAAAAUGGUUAACGGCCCAUGAUUUAUUUACUAUCAAGGUAAAAACUAAAAACAAAGAGACCAAUUCAUGUAGCCCUUUAGACUAUAUUCUCAGUUUGCAACAUAGUUCUUGUUGGUUUUUUUUACUGUGUUUGUUUGAUUUGUUUUUGAUUUACCACUAAAGCAUACAUGUAAAAUAUUGAUAUUGAUUGCUCAGGCACAAGUGUAUGUUUUUCUGCUACCAGAAAGAGUAUUAAAAAGUUUACUGGUGUAUAUAU